UUUGUAUUGCGUGCGGAAAUUGUUACCAUUUUUGAGCCGAAAAUGGUAACAAUUUCCGCACGUUUAAUACAAA
rnacentral:miRNA from 1 species